rnacentral:rRNA from 1 species
GACGAACGCUGGCGGCGUGCUUAACACAUGCAAGUCGAACGGGAUUUCGUAAACAGAAACCUCGGUGGAAGAUUACUAAUGAGAGUGGCGAACGGGUGAGUAACGCGUGAGCAACCUGCCUAUGACAGUGGGAUAGCCUCGGGAAACCGGGAUUAAUACCGCAUAAAAUCGUAGAAACACAUGUUUUAACGGUCACAGAUUUAUCGGUCAUAGAUGGGCUCGCGUCUGAUUAGCUAGUUGGUGAGAUAACAGCCCACCAAGGCGACGAUCAGUAGCCGGUCUGAGAGGAUGAACGGCCACAUUGGAGCUGAGACACGGUCCAAACUCCUACGGGAGGCAGCAGUGGGGAAUAUUGCACAAUGGGGGAAACCCUGAUGCAGCGACGCCGCGUGAACGAAGAAGGUAUUCGUAUCGUAAAGUUCUGUACUAUGGGAAGAUAAUGACAGUACCAUAGAAGAAAGCUCCGGCUAAAUACGUG